AUUGAACGCUGGCGGCAGGCCUAACACAUGCAAGUCGAGCGGAGCGGCGGACGGGUGAGUAAUGCCUAGGAAUCUGCCUGGUAGUGGGGGAUAACGUCCGGAAACGGGCGCUAAUACCGCAUACUAUCAGAUGAGCCUAGGUCGGAUUAGCUAGUUGGUGGGCUAAAGGCCUACCAAGGCGACGAUCGGUAACUGGUCUUGGAGGAUGAUCAGUCAAACUGGACCUGAGACACGGUCCAGACUCCUACGGCAGGCAUCAGUGGGGAAUAUUGGACAAUGGGCGAAAGCCUAACCCAGCCAUGCCGCGUGUGUGAAGAAGGUCUUCGGAUUGUAAAGCACUUUAAGUUGGGAGGCGUUACCAACAGAAUAAGCACCGGCUAACUUCGUGCCAGCAUCCGCGGUAAUUC
rnacentral:rRNA from 1 species